AUGAACGCUGGCGGCGUGCCUCAUACAUGCAAGUCGAGCGAACGGACGAGAAGCUUGCUUCUCUGAUGUUAGCGGCGGACGGGUGAGUAACACGUGGAUAACCUACCUAUAAGACUGGGAUAACUUCGGGAAACCGGAGCUAAUACCGGAUAAUAUUUUGAACCGCAUGGUUCAAAAGUGAAAGACGGUCUUGCUGUCACUUAUAGAUGGAUCCGCGCUGCAUUAGCUAGUUGGUAAGGUAACGGCUUACCAAGGCAACGAUGCAUAGCCGACCUGAGAGGGUGAUCGGCCACACUGGAACUGAGACACGGUCCAGACUCCUACGGGAAGCAGCAGUAGGGAAUCUUCCGCAAUGGGCGAAAGCCUGACGGAGCAACGCCGCGUGAGUGAUGAAGGUCUUCGGAUCGUAAAACUCUGUUAUUAGGGAAGAACAUAUGUGUAAGUAACUGUGCACAUCUUGACGGUACCUAAUCAGAAAGCCACGGCUAACUACGUG
rnacentral:rRNA from 1 species